CAAAGGCAGGGUAUGAGUCAAGAAACCUGCCUACUUUCCUCAAAAGUACGUAAUGUCACGAUUCCAAAAGCGAUACAAUAUUAGAGAAAUUAAUUCUUCCACAUCCGGGAAAAUGUUUAAUGGUGUAGUUAUGUUAACUAAAUUCAUGCUAAGUUUUUUUUGAUAGAUCUCCUUGUCCCAUAAUUUACCGGAAUGCAUCGCGCGGCCCAUUGACGACGCAUGAGCAACGUACACUUCAUAAAAUUCCAAUGGAGUUUCCCCUUCUCCUCAAAAUUCUCUGGUUGAGUUUCGUGCACCAAGCUAAUUAUUUGCCAUCGUGAGUAUUAGUCAUGCCAUCGUCCGAAAUAGGAAUAUCGAACAUGCAACUGGAAUCAGAGUAAGUAACUACUUAUGAUCCACGCAUAGGUAUGUAUCCAUCUUUUGUUUUGUAUGUUGUCUUCAAAAUCAGCAAGCCAGGGACCACGCCAGUUACAGUAGCUUGUUAGCUGCGAAUACAUUUUCUGACAUCUCUCACAGCCCUAAAAUACAGUGACAGUUAGCCUGCCACUAUUAUAGGUACAUACGAAUUCAUACUAGCAAUGCAAAAGUGAGAAACCCACCCCCUUGUCUUACAGAAGUCACGGGUCAAGAGAAACUUAGCCUUUGAUAAUGACUCUCUGUUCCAUUACACAUUGUGUGUCAUUGUUGGACAAAGGCAUCUUCUGUAUGGCACGUAGGAAGUUUUUGUUAAAAUUCCCGACGCUUUGUCUGAACACUAACAUGGAAGCAUAAGGACCUUAUCUUUCAUAUCAGUGAGGAAACAUAUUCAAAACGUUAUAUUAAUUCAAACAUUGAUAAGAUGUUCUCACACGGCAAUGUCUCCAUGUUACAGCGCUUUUUUACGGAAGACAACGCGACCACCUGUGCUAAUUACCUUUAUAAACUGUGUGGUUCGAGCCCUGAAUGCUGAUUGGCUGACAGCCGUAUACCACUGGAGAAACAUCAGAAAUGACAGCCUUUAGUUUUGUAUGGAACUGCAGAAUGUGCCUUACAUACACCAGUCACCAUGAGGUUACCAGCCAUCUCUAAAAUACCACCUCACUUCCACCCCAGAUUGGGCUUGUCGGGCAGCCCAAACAGACCAACCUCCUCAGAAGUGGUCAGCGGACGUUUCCAGUAUGGCGUUGUUUGAUGCUGGGAGCACAGGGACAAGGAUCCAUGUCUUCAAGUUUCAACUAGAGGACAAUGAGACAUCAGUAGGUCAUAAGCAUCACAGAAGAAAUGUAUGAAUUCUGACAAGAUGGAACAAGUCACUUGUUAAGGCAGUAGGCUACUGUAUAAUAGCACGCAUCUUGCCAUGGAUCUCUGCCUUUGAGGCUCCUAAAUUGACAGAGCAAUAAAACCAGGUCUAUCUGCAUAUGCUGAUGAUCCAGAAAAGGGAAUCAACUUCAUGUACAUUGCAAUCGGAAAGUUUUCAGACCCCUUUUUCCACAUUUUGUUACGUUACAGCCUUAUUCUAAAAUGGAUUAAAUGAACAUCUUUCCUCAAUCUACGCACAAUACCCCAUAAUAACAAAUUGAAAACGGGUUUCUAAUUUUUUGCAAAUGUGAAAAAAACUAAACAGAUAUACCUUAUUUACAUAAGUAUACAGACCCUUUGCUAUGAGACUUAAAAUUGAGCACAGGUGCAUCCUGUUUUCAUUGAUCAUCCUUGAUGUUUCUACAACUUGAUUAGAGUCCACGUGUGGUAAAUUCAAUUAAUUGGACAUGAUUUGGAAAAGCACACACCGGUCUAUAUAAGGUUCCACAGUUGACAGUGCAUGUCGGAGCAAAAACCAAGCCAUGAGGUCGAAGGAAUUGUCUGUAGAGCUCCGAGACAGGAAUGUGUCGAGGCACAGAUCUGGGGGAAGGGUAACAAAACAUUUCUGCAACAUUGAAGUUCCCAAUAACACAGUGGCCUCCCUCAUUCUUAAAUGGAAGAAGUUUGGGACUGCCAAGACUUCCUAGAGCUGGCCACCAAGUCAAACGGCACAAUCGAGGGAGAAGGGUCUUGGUCAGGGAGGUGACCAAGAACCCAAUGGUCACUCUGACAACUCCAGAGUUACUCUGUGGAGAUGGGAGAACCUUCCAGAAGGACAACAAUCUCUGCAGCACUCCACCACCAAUCUCUGCAGCUCUCAGGACUUAAUGUUAGAGAGGCCAGACGAAGCUACGACUCAGUAAAAGGCACAUGACAGCUUGCUUGGAGUUUGCCAAAAGGCACCUUAAGGACUCAGACCAUGAGAAACAAGAUUCUUUGGUCUGAUGAAACCAAGAUUGAACUAUUUGACCUGAAUGCCAAUAGUCACAUCUGGAGUAAACCUGGUACCUCCCUACGGUGAAGCAUGGUGGUGGCAGCAUCAUGCUUUGGGGAUGUUUUUCAGCUGCCGGGACUGGGAGACUUGUCAGGAUUGAGGGUAAAAUGAACAGAGAAAGUACAGAGAGAUCCUUGAUGAAAACCUGCUCCAGAGUGCUCAGCACUUCAGACUGGGGCGAUGGUUCACCUUCCAACAGGACAACAACCCUAAGCACACAGCCAAGACAACGCAGGAGUGGCUACGCUCCCCAUCCAACCUUACAGAGCUUGAGAGGAUCUGCAGAGAAGAAUGGGAGAAACUCUCCAAAUACAGGUGUGCCAAGCUUGUAGCAUCAUACCCAAGAAGAUUCGAGGUAGUAGUCACUGCCAAAGGGGCCUCAACAAGUACUGAGUAAAGGGUCUGAUUACUUAUGGAAAUGUGAUAUUUCCGUUUUUUUACAUUUUUGAUACAUUUGCACAUCUAAACCCGUUUCUGCUUUGACUGGUACUGUACUUCUCCCUACAACCAGCAUGAUAGCUGCAAUGAAUGAGUAUCGCAAAGUGUUUCCGAUAAGCUUUUUUUAUUUAGCCGCUUGUCUUUUUUUAAUAUCAAGGAAUAAUUCACAUUUUUUUUGGUAAUAGGAGUAACGACAUGAAUUGGUGCAUGAGGCAAAUAAUGCAGUGCGACUUGAGUUUCGCUGUGAGCUGGAAUACUUUCCCUUUUUCUCAGCGGAAGGAGGGAGGGCGGCGGGACACUGAUUAGGGUGAGAGGCAGCCUGAUUGCGGCAAUCUCCCUCCCCUCAGACUGCAUCUGAUGGUCAGUCAAUCAGUCCAGUAAAAACAAUAAGCAAAUUAUUAUGUUCCCAGCUGUGCCUCAGAAGUAAUAUACAACAAAUUAUCUAAAUGGAUGCUUCUGAUUUUAUACAUCCUGAGAGACAUCUGGCUCCUAUCUGUGGUUUCAGCACGUUGUAGUGGCACGUGUUAGCAUGUAUUUCAGCACCUUUUUCCUGCAGAAACGGAAAGAAUGCCCAGGCGUCCUGUCUUCAGUCAGCUGUUUGUCCCCCCCCCCCCCCUUCCACGGUUAUGACUGUUAAUUUAUUUACUAUGUCACAUAUUUGCAGCUUUGGGCACUACAUUAAAUGAUUUAGAUGCACUAUUGUAAAGUGGCUGUUUCCACUGGAUGUCAGAAGGUGAAUUCACCAAUUUGUAAGUCGCUCUGGAUAAGAGCGUCUGCUAAAUGACUUAAAUGUAAAUGUAAAUGUACAUCAUUGCUCUCUCGCUCUGCUGGGUGUGCAUCUUGCUGUUUGUCACUCAAAGGGCGAGGGGCUAAAGCUCAUUGGCUGGAACUCUAAUUGCUAGUGGGGUGGCCCAUGUGGAGGAAAAUGUGGGGAAAAUGGCACCACACAGCUUCCGGUAAAUAGUGUCUUUUCAAACUAGGGAUUUGUCGCUAAUUGAGGUAAGACAGUAAUUCUGCUCAUAGAUUACGCAUGGUAUGAACUACACAUUGACACAUGCAGCCCAAAGUGGGAGGUUUAAAGAAUACUUACUAGUCACCAAAGUUCCAGAGCAUGUCUUCAACGCUACACUUAUGGAAAUUGGCCUUUAUGGAUAGGGCUAGAUUUAAAUGUUUAUUACCGAAGAAAUGGGUCUUUCUAUAAACAAAGGGGCCAAUGUGUGACAUCAGGGUCAACAUUUCUAAAUGAUUUGAUAGACAUUUUAACAUGAUUUUCUUGCAGCUUCACGUGUAGUUACAAGAAUAAAAGUCUAGGUAGGCACAAUGAAACUGUCUAGGUAGGCACAAUGAAAUCAUUGAAAAUAAGAAAGUUAAGAACACAGACUUGCCUGGUUAAAUAAAGGUAAAAUUAAAAAAAUUAAAAAAUCCACCUUGCAGCAAUAAAACCUCUACAUGUCAUUCUAAAUGUCACAAGAAACAUGGACACAGCAUGUUUAUUUCUCAUGUGUCGUUGCCAGGUCUUUUUGUGCUUUAGUCAACUUCUCCAUGAUUUAUAGCCAUGCUAAACAUAGCUGAAGAUUUUUUUUUUAACCUUUUAUUUAAGUAGGCAAGUCAGUUAAGAACAAAUUCUUAUUUUCAAUGAUGGCCUAGGAACAGUGGGUUAACUGCCUGUUCAGGGGCAGAACGACAGAUUUGUACCGUGUCAGCUCGGGGGUUUGAACUUGCAAUCUUCCGGUUACUAGUCCAACACUAACCACUAGGCUACCCUGCCGCCCCAAAUCACCAUGAAACCACCAUGAAAAAGAUCAACAGCAUUUAUGUUUUAAUAGUUGAUAUAAUACAAUCAUUAUUCAGUAAACUCUUCCAGCAUUGUGUGUGUGUGUCUCUUAAGACAUUCUUGCUUCCUCUGUCCUUGUUUUCUCCACUCCUUGCCUCUUCUUGAACGUGCAUUGUUGCCUGAGGGGAGGAACUUCCAUUCCUCUCCCCCAAUGUGCUUUGAGAAGGCGAGGAAUGGGGGAAACCCAUUGGAUAAGGUGAGAGGGGAAGGACCUCUGACCUUCUCAUAAAAUUAUUUUUGAGAAAGAGAUCAAGGAAAUGCAAGGACAGGGGAAGCAGGUCCUUGACUGCUAUUAAAGCCCCCAUGCAGUUGUAAUUUUAUUUUUAAAUCACUGUAUGUCUAAAUCACUGUUUAUUUAAUGAAAAUAACUAAUUUGUAAUUUAUUUCCCUGAGCCUCCUUUGGCCCUUCAAAUGCUCAGUCUGAUCGUGUGGGCGUUGGGAAACAAAGAUAUUUACAUACACAGCCCCGAUUGGCUGAUAGGAUGGUCUAGAGCCCACCCCCUUACCCAGGCAGUAUCACUCCAGCUCUAUCACUGAUGAUUGUCAUUCAGAAAAUCCUUUCCAAAAUCGACAAUUUCCCCACAUAACUAAACAGCCGGAGAUCAUAUGCGCCUCAAACAACUAUUAUGCAGAGUUUUUGAAGAACCCUGUUAAUGACCGUAUCGAUUUGUCUUGAUUCAACAUGUUAAAGUUAUGCUUUAUGUUAGAAGCGUUUGAUUUUCAAUCCAUCCAUAUCCAUUUGGGAUAUGUGUGCACACCAUAACAUAGGGAGCAUCCCAAACAUGCUCAAUGGGUGACAUGUCUGGUGAUUAUGCAGGCCAUGGAAGAACUGGGACAUUUUCAGCUUCCAGGAAUUGUGUAUAGAUCCUUGCGACAUUGGGCCGUGCAUUAUCAUGCUGAAACGUGAGGUGAUGGUGGUGAAUGAAUGGCAUGACAAUAUGCCUCAGGAUCUUGUCACGGUAUCUCUGUCCCUUCAAAUUGCAAUCGAUAAAAUGCAAUUGUGUUCGUUGUCCAUAGCUUAUACCAAUACCAUAACCCCAACCCACCAUGGGACACUCUGACAACAUUGACAUCAGCAAACCACCCGCCCACACGACAACAUACACAUCAUCUGCGGUUGAACGUACUGCCAAAUUGUCUAAAACAACAUUGGAGGUGGUUUAUGGUAGAGAUAUGAACAUUCAAUACUUUGGCAACAGGUCUGGUAAACAUUCCUGCACGCUCCCUCAACUUGAGACAUCUGUGGCAUUGUGUUGUGAGACAACUGCUCAUUUUAGUGGCCUUUUAUUGUCCCCAGCACAAGGCACACCUGUGUAAUGAUUCUGUUUAAUCAGCUUCUUGAUAAUCCAUCUACCUUACUGGUGUGGCCUACCUUGGCAAUGAGAAAGGCUCACUAACAGGGAUGUAAUUUUUGCACAAUAUUUGAGUUAUUUUUAAAUGUUCUAUUUCAGCUCAUGAAACUUGGGACCAAACUUUACAUGUUGCAUUUAUAUUUUUGUUCAGUGUUUAUCUUUAAUGUGUUCAUGUGAAGAAGAAAUAAGGUAAAUUAUUAUGAAUGACUUUGUAACAGCUCCAAACAGUUGUCCACUACAAGAAAUGCUCACUGGUACCUGCAUUUAUAGAAAGACCCAAAUAUGAAAUGCAUAUGCAUAGGCAUGGUAGCAAUUAAAAGGAAACAGUUUGGAGAUUAUGGGUAAUUAUUAGACCCAAAUUGAGGACACAACAAUUCACCUGAAACCAGACUAAAUCCAAACAUCACAUUUUUGAUUUUAUUUGCAUUCUACAUUUACUGUACUUUUUGCCGCUUUUGUUAAUGAAAUCUGAAAAUACUCUGGAUACAUUCAGUAACAUAAGAAUAUUACUGAAAAAUGUGGGGUAGGUGCAACAGACAAAUGACUGGUUUGAGUGAGAGGAUACACACCUCUCCAAAGUGUGCACAGCUCUUAAGUAAUUUAAAUGCACUUUUAACUCGAAGGGUCUUCAACUAUAGGGUGCUUCUUUUUUCUUUUCUUUUUUAGCUCUCCUUGCUCUGCUGUUGAGGAACUAAAGCAAGCACACAUGUAGUUUUGUUUGGAACACAACCCUGAAUCCCCGCCAUCACACAAUUAUUGUUUACACAAUCCAAAAACAUUCUGUUAAAAAUCACAAUCUGGGUCAGGUGGGCAACAUUUGAAAACUUGUUCAUUUGCAAACAUGACUAGCUAAGUUAUAAUAUACGAUCUUAGUGUUAGGCUUUCACAGGGCAAUUCAGAGAGAUGUAUCAUUUUGGUAUGCUCAGAAAGAAGUUCUGCUGCAAAUUUGUCACAAUAGACAGGCUCAUUCUGUUCAGAACAACCCAGGUUAUGUCAUCUUGUAACUGUACAUGAAACAAACCUUUCUAGUUUUUUCUUUAAUCUUGCAUGAUGAAUUGGCAUCAAAAGAAAAUAAAGCCUUUUUAAGUGAGCAGAAAUUGGUGAACAGUUAUCAUAGGACUGGAUCCUUGAGUAGGAUUUUUCUGCACCACUAACUUGGUUUCCAUCCAAGUGGCAACAGAUUUUCAUGCGAAUAAAUCAAAUAUAAUAAAAUCUGCAUAAAGAAAAGAUGUCCAUUUUUCCACCAGUGGUGUUUCCACCAAACUGACUUGUUGCAAAUAAAAAUCAGUGCGUGACGUAGUGCACUCAAUGUGUUUUCGUGUACCGAAUAAAGAUCUCAAUGUGUUACUAUUGCAUUUUCAACUCUACUGAUUGUAACAAAACUAACUGUUGAGUUAAAUAACAAAUGUGCCUACUCUGGUCUUGACACGUGCUCUCUAGCCAACAGCAUGCAGAUACAGUGCAGGUUAGUGCUUUUUGAGUUCUGGUUCAAUUAUAAAAUAAUCACGGAUUUCGGUUUCUGUAAAGAAUAAAAAAUAAUUACAUUAAAAUGCACUUAUUAUGUGGGUUGAAUGAUGUAACAACACCGAAUAAAUGAAUUCA